CCCUACGCUCUUUCAGGUCUCAUACUGAUGUUUCCAGUUUUGUUAGAGCCAAAUUAUAGACAGCGUUUCACCAGGAGACCUAGAGUGAGGAGCCCCGCCCCUUUCCCCCUUGCGCCUCAGACAGAGUUUGAGGAAAAAGAUGGCGGUCGUUCUUCGUUCGCUAAAGCUGUUCUUGUUUACAGGCUUCCCACUCGGAAGAAAGGAGAAGAAGAGACAAAACAAAACAAACAUCGAUUGUUACAACUGUUUCAAUACAGCUGAGACAUGUAACAUAGGUAUAAAAAA